UGGCAAUUAUUCCAGUGAGGAGGCCCACCAAGCAAGCCAGAGACCACUUCAGGAAAAUGUACUGAAGCACUUGAGCUUUGGAUCUACUCCUCCAGUCAUGCUUGAACAGAACAUUCUCAUUUAUCCUGGAAUACAACCGAAAAAUGGUUUGCAGGAACGAACUCGUAAUCCAAGCUCUCAAUGUGGGAGACUUUGGCCCCGACCAAUGCCAGCGGGCUCGCCGAGAGCGUUCUGUGCCUCUUGAGGAGUGGUUCGUGCAGUGAAUUGCUCUCCGGGUCUCUUCCUUCUUCUUCUUCUUUGUCUGCUCCUACUGCUUCUCCAUUGCUAUGAGCAGCUGCUGCUGCUUCUUCUUCUUCGGCAUGCUGCUGCUUCGAGUCUUCCUCCAUGUCGAUAAGUUCCGAAGAAGAUUGCUCAGAAGAAGAAGGAGAAGAAGAAGAGGAAGAGGAAGGAGAAGAAGAAGAUGGGUUGUGUAAUUGUUCAACAGUGGUUGGUUCCAAAGAGUGUAUAUAUAUAUAUAUAUGUAUAUACAUAUAUAUAUAUAUAGGGUCUGUUUAUUGGGACAAAGGGGACUUGCUUGAUUGGAGCUCGUUUCAGUUUAAAAAAGGGGCCUUGGUAGGGGUGAAAGGGCAAAAGACCACAAGUUGGCGGGUCAUUCUCAUAAAAGCAGACAAGAUUGGAGGUCCAGUUGUUUAUUAUAGAAAAAUUAUCAGCAAAUUGGGAUCCAUAUCAUUUCACACCAAGUUGAUAAUUAGGCUUGGCCUUUUAGCAAUAAAUGAUCAUACUGCCUCCGUAAA